rnacentral:misc_RNA from 1 species
CGCAUCUAUAACAAUCCAAUCAAGUGUUCCCAUACCCCAAACUCGUCUAACUAGAGAAAAAGAGAUGUCUGAGCAUUUUGUCUCAACUAAAAAAACAAUAUCUAUGUUGUGCUUAUUGAUGAGAUUCCUAAGAUAUCUUUUCUUAUAAGCAUUACCCAAACCUCUAGGAUUCCACGAGAGUACAACAAACAUGUUGGGACAAGAUAUCUUGAACCUUAAUUCUCUGGAGAAGAUGAUCUGCCUCAACUUAAUUAGCAAAGUGUAACAAGAGAUUCUCUUCAUCAACAUCAUAAGACAUAACCAAGUUCCUUUCGGCAUCCAUGGUGGCUUCUGCUUCUACUAGUGGUGAUAGGAUCAAAGGAUUAAUUCCCUCUUCCAAAGUUCAUUUAUAG